rnacentral:rRNA from 1 species
UGAAUAAGCACCGGCUAACUCCGUGCCAGCAGCCGCGGUAAUACGGAGGGUGCAAGCGUUAUUCGGAAUCACUGGGCGUAAAGGACGCGUAGGCGGGAUGCCAAGUCUGAUGUGAAAUCCUAUGGCUCAACCAUAGAACUGCAUUGGAAACUGGUAACCUAGAGUAUGGGAGGGGGAGAUGGAAUUAGUGGUGUAGGGGUAAAAUCCGUAGAUAUCACUAGGAAUACCGAAAGCGAAGGCGAUCUCCUGGAACAAUACUGACGCUAAGGCGUGAAAGCGUGGGGAGCAAACGGGAUUAGAUACCCCGGUAGUCCACGCCCUAAACGAUGAACACUAGUCGUCGGGAUGCUAGUCAUCUCGGUGAUGCACUUAACAGAUUAAUUCCGCCUGGGGAGUACGGUCGCAAGAUUAAAACUCAAAGGAAUAGACGGGGACCCGCACAAGUGGUGGAGCAUGUGGUUUAAUUCGAAGAUACGCGAAGAACCUUACCUAGCCUUGACAUAUUUUAGAACACCGUAGAGAUACAGUGGUGCCUUCGGGAGCUAAUUUACAGGUGCUGCACGGCUGUCGUCAGCUCGUGUCGUGAGAUGUUGGGUUAAGUCCCGCAACGAGCGCAACCCUCGUCACUAGUUACUAACGGUUCGGCCGAGGACUCUAGUGAGACUGCCUUCGUAAGGAGGAGGAAGGUGAGGACGACGUCAAGUCAUCAUGGCCCUUACGGCUAGGGCAACACACGUGCUACAAUGGCCAGGACAGUGAGACGCGAUACCGCGAGGUGGAGCAAAUCUAUAAACCUGGUCUCAGUUCGGAUUGUAGUCUGCAACUCGACUACAUGAAGCUGGAAUCACUAGUAAUCGUAGAUCAGCUAUGCUACGGUGAAUACGUUCCCGGGUCUUGUACUCACCGCCCGUCACACCAUGGGAGUUGAUUUCACCCGAAGCGGGGAAGCUAAACUG